rnacentral:rRNA from 1 species
GACGAACGCUGGCGGCGUGCCUAACACAUGCAAGUCGAACGGAACUGUUUUGAAAGAUUUCUUUGGAAUGAAUUUGAUUUAGUUUAGUGGCGGAAGGGUGAGUAACGCGUGAGUAACCUGCCUUUAAGAGGGGAAUAACAUUCUGAAAAGAAUGCUAAUCCCCCAUGACAUAUCGGAACCACAUGGCUUUGAUAUCAAAGAUUUUAUCGCUUAAAGAUGGACUCGCGUCCGAUUAGUUAGUUGGUGAGGUAACGGCUCACCAAGACAGCGAUCGGUAGCCGGACGGCGAGGUUGGCCGGUCUCAUACGGACUGAGACCCGGCUCGGCCUCCUGCGGGAGGCAGCAGCAGGGGCGAUUGCGCAAGCGAGGCAACCCUGACGAAGCCACGCCGCGUGAAGGACGAAGGUUUUCGGAUUGCAAACUUCUCCUGUUACGGACAAAAAAUGACGGUACUUAAUGAAGAAGCACCGGCUAACUACGUG